rnacentral:rRNA from 1 species
UACGUAGGGUGCGAGCGUUAAUCGGAAUUACUGGGCGUAAAGCGUGCGCAGGCGGCUUCGCAAGUCAGACGUGAAAUCCCCCGGGCUUAACCUGGGAAUGGCGUUUGAAACUACGGAGCUGGAGUGUGGCAGAGGGAGGUAGAAUUCCACGUGUAGCGGUGAAAUGCGUAGAUAUGUGGAGGAAUACCGAUGGCGAAGGCAGCCUCCUGGGCCAACACUGACGCUCAUGCACGAAAGCGUGGGGAGCAAACAGG